GAUGCACGGUGGACCAGCCGCUCGGUCCACGGAUUCAAGGGUGCGGUCCACAUGAAAUGUUAUGCAGUCCAUGAUGCGAUCUAUGAGUGAGCGAAUGAAAUUUACACUAAUCGAAAAUUCAGAUUUUAUCUGAAGUGAGAUUCGAUGACUGUGGUGGUUUUUGACUUUGAAUAAGAUUUCUGGGCAUGAUCCAAUGAUCGAAACUCGAUCCAUCACUCGAUUCAAUGGCUAGUAUUCAUCCCGACUGUGUUAAGAAAAUAAAAAGUAUAAUCCAAUGGCCAAAAACUCAUCAAGGGCAC
rnacentral:lncRNA from 1 species